GUCCCUCCCAACCCCCGGGCUCCCAAGUUCUAUCUCACUCCUCCACCUUCCCUGUCCUCUCACAGCUGAGGUUCCGGGCUGUAAUGAUGGCAAUGCUGCCCAGCACAACCCCUGCCCCCAUGAUGUCAGAAAGUGCCACAGUCUCAUGGAGCAUAUAAUACUGCAGUAUAAGGGCCACAACCACCUCGGAAUGCAGGACAGCGCACACCAGGGCAGGGUGGGCCUUGGUGACCGCAUAGCCCACACAUGUGAAGGAGACCAAGGCGAGGAUCCCCUCUGCCCCCACACAACUCCAACUCAGGAGGUCACUGGGCAACACGGGGGUCUGCAGCACAAAGAGGCCUGGCACACAGCCCAGCAGCCCCACCAAGCCAGAUAGGAAGGCCACUGUUGGGAGGCAGGAGGGAAAGUGCAGAGAACGAUAGACCAGAAGCCCCAGGGACAGCGCCAGGCCUCCCAGGAAAGCCUGCACAUAGCCCAGGGUGGUGUAGACACCUGUGGUCCCCUCCUGUAGUGUCCAGAGUCCAGGUCCCAGAAUGAUGAUUAGUCCUAGGAUGCUGCCCAACAGUCCACACCACUCGUAGCCACCGAGACCCUGGCUCUCAAGGCAGAGGGUGAGGACAGCGGAGCAUACGGUGGAAGAACCUUUGCGAACAGUGGCAGCGUUGCCAGCGGGCACCACCUGAACUGCACUGUAGGCACAUCCAAUGCUGAGGACGUUGAGCAGGGCACAGAAGCAGGCCCAGCCUCGGAUGUCAGGAGGUCCCAGAAGGGGGUCGCCACGCAGUUUAAGUAGCAGGGCAAUAGGGAGGUGGAAGAGGCAUCGACAGAUGAGCAGCUCCAGCGAGGGCAGGUUGGAACCCUGAUGGACAUUUCACACAACGCAGAGCUACGAGAACAUCUCUUAUGCUCCUUGCCAUGGGAUUUUAAUGCCCCAAGGUUCAUAACUACAGCAAAGAAAGUAAGUCAAAAAUAAACUGAGCUUAAAGAAGGUGGCAGGCCAAUUUUCCCAAAAAGACUGUGGACUGUGGGCUGCUGUGUAGCCUUUGCUACAAGGCUGAGGAAGCAGAAGAAAGAUGAAUUGGGCAAUUGGUGAUGAAAAGUAUUUGCCAUUUUCAAAGGCUUCUCAGUGUGGCCAUAGAUUUUGCUAGUCAAUUUUUAAAAAAUUAUAUUUUUAGCUCAACACACAGCUCUAAAGCAGGGUUCAGUGUAGUGUGUUCUCUACCGAAAUGGUUAUAUACAGAUGGUAUGGAAAUGGUUUUAAAGAUUACUCAUAAACUAUCCUUUUAAAGAAAAACUAGACUCGGUCAUAUUUGUUAAAAUGAGCAAUGUCACCAAACAGAAAUGUAGGUGGGAAAUACUGAACCACAAACAUUUGGAGUUGCAGGCAUAGACUAGCAGAGCAUGAAUAGUCAUCACUGUUUCUAUAAUACUGAAACACUCAAAUCUGUUUCUGAGGUUUAAAACACAGAGCUAUAUUAUAUUCAUAAACUUCC
rnacentral:lncRNA from 1 species